AAAAAGUCGACAUUUCAGUUUCAGAGCAAAACAUUAAUCAGGAAAACCAAGUUUUGCUCUAAAGCUGAAACGUCGACCUUUU